ACGAGCGUCCGGCUCUGAGAACUGAAUUCCAUAGAUGGUGGGUUACAGAGCGGACGCAUCUAUGGACUCAGUUCUUUUGGCCUGGGGUUCGCGC
rnacentral:pre_miRNA from 1 species